AUUGAACGCUGGCGGCAUGGCUAAAACAUGCAAGUCGAGCGCGAAAGAGGAGCAAUCCUCGAGUAGAGCGGCGAAAGGGUGAGUAAUACGUUCCUACGUGCCUUGAGGUCAGGGAUAGCCAGGGGAAACUCUGGGUAAGUACCUGAUGUGGUCGAGAGAUCAAAGGCUUGCCGCCUCAAGAGCGGGGAACGGUCCUAUCAGCUAGUUGGUGAGGUAACGGCUCACCAAGGCGUUAGACGGGUAGCAGGUGUGAGAGCACGGCCUG
rnacentral:rRNA from 1 species